GAACUAAUGCGUGAGUGUUGCUGGGUGAGUGUGUGGCGCGUGAGUGAUCUGAGUGUUUGUGUUGUUUGAAUGUAUGGAUGAAUGCAUUUUUGUGUGUAUGUGUGUGUGCUUAAAUAGGAGUCUUUAAAAAUCUACACCAUGAUCUUAUUUGAUCUGAUCCGUGUUGUUGCCCUGCUCGGAUUCAGAAGUGAUAAGAAGAGACUCGUUAGCCCGCUGUGGCGAUGAGCGUUUGGGCUUUUUAUAGCCGGAUAGCAGCUUCAGGGCACCGCAAUGGAGAUUGUGGUUAGAAAUGAUGAAUCGAUCAGAUAUACUAGUGCCAGUGGGAUUUUGGAGGUUUUCCUUCAGGCUUUCCUGUCUGGUCUAUGAGUAUAGAGGCGAUUCUGAUCUUC